AGCGAACGCUGGCGGCAGGCUUAACACAUGCAAGUCGAGCGCCGUAGCAAUACGGAGCGGCAGACGGGAGAGUAACACGUGGGAACGUGCCCUUCAGUUCGGAACAACCCAGGGAAACUUGGGCUAAUACCGGAUACGUCCGAAAGGAGAAAGAUUUAUCGCUGAAGGAUCGGCCCGCGUCUGAUUAGCUAGUUGGUGGGGUCAUGGCCCACCAAGGCGACGAUCAGUAGCUGGUCUGAGAGGAUGAUCAGCCUCACUGGGACGGAGACACGGCCCAGACUCCUACGGGAGGCAGCAGUGGGGAAUAUUGGAGAAUGGGGGCAACCCUGAUCCAGCCAUGCCGCGUGGGUGAUGAAGGCCCUAGGGUUGUAAAGCCCUUUCGGCGGGGAAGAUAAUGACGGUACCCGCAGAAGAAGCCCCGGCUAACUUCGUGCCAGCAGCCGCCGUAA
rnacentral:rRNA from 1 species